GGGCCUGCACAAGCGGUGGAGUAUGUGGCUUAAUUCGAUGCAACGCGAAGAACCUUACCUGGCCUUGACAUGCAUCUCUAAGUGUGUGAAAGCACAUGACCCCUCGGGGAAUUUGCACAGGUGCUGCAUGGCUGUCGUCAGCUCGUGUCGUGAGAUGUUGGGUUAACGUUCCGCAACGAGCGCAACCCUUAUGUUUUGUUGCCACUUUCGCUUCGGCGGAAAGCACUCUAAACAGACUGCCUCGUCUCAACGAGGAGGAAGGUGGGGAUGACGUCAAGUCAGUAUGGCCCUUACGGCCAGGGCUGCACACGUACUACAAUGCCCAGUACAAUGGGAAGCAAUACCGCGAGUG
rnacentral:rRNA from 1 species